CUCCUCUGACGUUAGCGGCGGACGGGUGAGUAACACGUGGAUAACCUACCUAUAAGACUGGGAUAACUUCGGGAAACCGGAGCUAAUACCGGAUAAUAUAUUGAACCGCAUGGUUCAAUAGUGAAAGACGGUUUUGCUGUCACUUAUAGAUGGAUCCGCGCCGCAUUAGCUAGUUGGUAAGGUAACGGCUUACCAAGGCAACGAUGCGUAGCCGACCUGAGAGGGUGAUCGGCCACACUGGAACUGAGACACGGUCCAGACUCCUACGGGAGGCAGCAGUAGGGAAUCUUCCGCAAUGGGCGAAAGCCUGACGGAGCAACGCCGCGUGAGUGAUGAAGGUCUUCGGAUCGUAAAACUCUGUUAUUAGGGAAGAACAAAUGUGUAAGUAACUAUGCACGUCUUGACGGUACCUAAUCAGAAAGCCACGGCUAACUACGUGCCAGCAGCCGCGGUAAUACGUAGGUGGCAAGCGUUAUCCGGAAUUAUUGGGCGUAAAGCGCGCGUAGGCGGUUUUUUAAGUCUGAUGUGAAAGCCCACGGCUCAACCGUGGAGGGUCAUUGGAAACUGGAAAACUUGAGUGCAGAAGAGGAAAGUGGAAUUCCAUGUGUAGCGGUGAAAUGCGCAGAGAUAUGGAGGAACACCAGUGGCGAAGGCGACUUUCUGGUCUGUAACUGACGCUGAUGUGCGAAAGCGUGGGGAUCAAACAGGAUUAGAUACCCUGGUAGUCCACGCCGUAAACGAUGAGUGCUAAGUGUUAGGGGGUUUCCGCCCCUUAGUGCUGCAGCUAACGCAUUA
rnacentral:rRNA from 1 species